UCUUUCAGCUCCCAGUGGCUCUUGGCAACCUUAGGUGUUUCUGCCUUUGUCUUGGGGUGUCUCUCCUUUGGAGACCAAAUUUCCAUAUUCUUCUAAUGAAUGAUCCCUGUGGUGUAUAGAGAAUGAUCUGUGAUUGCUGUACUUUUGGUUUCAAAUAGAUGGAGGCCAGCCUCCCACAGGAUGAGGCGUCUGGGGGUACACUUGAAAUAAACAUUCUACAGUCUGAGACAAGAGCAACCAACCAACCAACCAGCAGGACAACCAAUGAGAUCCUUGGUUCCAGAAUCCAUUCUGAAUAAGCACAAAUGGCAUAAAACAAUUUACCAAUA